CUAGAAGUUGCCAUCUUUCUUCACAUGCUCUGCUGUACAAGAUUAUCUAAACUUCUACUAUAGGCUGCAUAGCCGGAUGACUUCUCUGAUGUGUGGUUCUCGUUGGAUCCUGUGGAGUAGCUUCUUCCUGUUUCAGUUCAGCGGUUGCGAGUUCAGGGGAGUUCCCCAUCUUUGCCAGACGUUCCGGAAGACGGCUCUCCUGUUAUCCAUUUCUGGGUGUUUCAAGUUCGGAUGGUUCCAGUUUUGCGGUUCAGUUUGGAGUAUCUGAUGUCCGGUCCGAUAGGAGUGGCAUUCGCCAAGAAAGAGGAAGUACUAUGGACUAGUGGACAUUAUAUAGGGGACUAAGGUGGGAGGGGACGGUUGCUAUGGCAAUAUGUUAAUUUGGUUUCAUUUUUUCUUUGCUGCUGUGGCUGUCAGUAAAGAGAGAUUAUGCAA